rnacentral:sRNA from 1 species
AUGAAGCUUCUUUGUUGGCAAAAAUCAAUCCAUGGUUCUUAAAAUCAAACAUGGAGAGAAGUGUGAGAGGGUUAAUUAGUUGGUACUAAUUAUGAUUAGUACUAAUUACAUCAUCCUUUACACUCUCCCUCCAUUUUUACAAAAACAGUUUGCUUUGUGCUUUAGCUAUUGGCUUCUCAUAUCAUAAAGGGAUGUGCUUUUUUCUGAGUAUCAGAAGCAAAUAAUUAAGCAUUUUUCUCUAUUGGAUCAGAAGCUUUGGUUAUAGUAUGGCAAACCGGCAAGUCACAAAAAGGCAAUGGAUUCCUUUUUGGAGUCUU